ensembl:miRNA
GGGACUUGAAGAUAGGUUAUCCGUGCAGCCUUCACUUUGUUUGUAAUGAAUCAUACACGGUUCACCUAUUUUUCAGUACCAA